rnacentral:lncRNA from 13 species
AUCCCCCAUUAACACGUAAUUUAGAGGGUUCCUUUCUCUUCUUUAUCCCCCAUUAACACGGCAGUCAUUUAGAGGGUUCCUUUCUCUUCUUUAUCCCCCAUUAACACGGCAGUCAUUUAGAGGGUUCCUUUCUCUUCUUUAUCCCCCAUUAACACGGCAGUCAUUUAGAGGGUUCCUUUCUCUUCUUUAUCCCCCAUUAACACGUCAUUUAGAGGGUUCCUUUCUCUUCUUUAUCCCCCAUUAACACGGCAGUCAUUUAGAGGGUUCCUUUCUCUGCUUUAUCCCCCAUUAACACGUCAUUUAGAGGGUUCCGUUCUCUUCUUUAUCCCCCAUUAACA